AAGUCGUAACAAGGUUUCCGUAGGUGAACCUGCGGAAGGAUCAUUAACGUGUUUGGCUCCGGCCCUCACGCCCCUUGUGUACCUCUGGUUUCUUUGGCGCGCCGCGUCAAACGAACAACGCUGAAAUGUGAACGUCCGAGUCAUACAAAUAGUUAAAA
rnacentral:misc_RNA from 1 species